GAAAGAACCAAACUGAAAUUUUAACUUUGAUCCACCGCCAGCAGCGACUGUGUUUACAUCGAGCUGAGGUGCUUGAAUUAUUGCACCAGCAAUCUGGGUUUCUAUAACUUGUUCAUAGGUACCAGCAUAUCGGCUGACAUCAGUAGAUGUACCACCCAUGUCAAAACCGAUUAGGGCUUUGUCUGUUUCAAUCCCAAAGAGUGUCUGAGAGUACCCAACUACACCGCCAGCAGGACCUGACAGGUACCACCCAUGUCAAAACCGAUUAGGGCCUUGUCUGUUUCAAUCCCAAAGAGUGUCUGAGAGUAACCAACUACACCACCAGCAGGACCUGACAAAAUUGCUUUGUGGCCUGAAAAUCUAUGUUCU
rnacentral:lncRNA from 1 species